rnacentral:rRNA from 1 species
UUCCGGUUGAUCCUGCCGGAGGCCAUUGCUAUCGGAGUCCGCUUUAGCCAUGCUAGUCGCACGGGUUGGACCCGUGGCAGAUAGCUCAGUAACACGUGGCCAAACUGUCCUAUGGAUCGAGAUAACCUCGGGAAACUGAGGCCAAUCUCGAAUACGGUUCCCACUCUGGAAUGACGGGAACUAGAAACACUCCGGUGCCCUAGGAUGUGGCUGCGGCCGAUUAGGUAGACGGUGGGGUAACGGCCCACCGUGCCGAUAAUCGGUACGGGUUGUGAGAGCAAGAGCCCGGAGACGGAAUCUGAGACAAGAUUCCGGGCCCUACGGGGCGCAGCAGGCGCGAAAACUUUACACUGCACGACAGUGCGAUAAGGGGACUCCGAGUGCGAGGGCAUAUAGUCCUCGCUUUUGUACACCGUAAGGUGGUGUACGAAUAAGGGCUGGGCAAGACCGGUGCCAGCCGCCGCGGUAAUACCGGCAGCCCGAGUGAUGGCCGCUAUUAUUGGGCCUAAAGCGUCCGUAGCCAGCCAGACAGGUCCGUCGGGAAAUCCAUCCGCUCAACGGAUGGGCGUCCGGCGGAAACCAGCUGGCUUGGGGCCGGAAGAUCCGAGGGGUACGUCCGGGGUAGGAGUGAAAUCCCGUAAUCCUGGACGGACCGCCGGUGGCGAAAGCGCCUCGGAAAGACGGACCCGACGGUGAGGGACGAAAGCUAGGGUCACGAACCGGAUUAGAUACCCGGGUAGUCCUAGCUGUAAACGAUGCUCGCUAGGUGUGGCGUUGGCUACGAGCCAGCGCUGUGCCGUAGGGAAGCCGAGAAGCGAGCCGCCUGGGAAGUACGUCCGCAAGGAUGAAACUUAAAGGAA